rnacentral:rRNA from 1 species
UUAAGCAUAUCAAUAAGCGGAGGAAAAGAAACCAACAGGGAUUGCCCUAGUAACGGCGAGUGAAGCGGCAACAGCUCAAAUUUGAAAUCUGGCCUUCGGGUCCGAGUUGUAAUUUGUAGAGGAUGCUUUUGGCGCGGUGCCUUCCGAGUUCCCUGGAACGGGACGCCUUAGAGGGUGAGAGCCCCGUACGGUUGGACACCAAGCCUUUGUAAAGCUCCUUCGACGAGUCGAGUAGUUUGGGAAUGCUGCUCUAAAUGGGAGGUAAAUUUCUUCUAAAGCUAAAUAUUGGCCAGAGACCGAUAGCGCACAAGUAGAGUGAUCGAAAGAUGAAAAGCACUUUGAAAAGAGGGUUAAAUAGCACGUGAAAUUGUUGAAAGGGAAGCGUUUGCGACCAGACCUUUUCUUGGCGGAUCAUCCGGUGUUAUCACCGGUGCACUUCGCCAGGUUGAGGCCAGCAUCGGUUUUUGUAGGGGGAUAAAAGCCUAGGGAAUGUGGCUCCUUCGGGAGUGUUAUAGCCCCUCGCAUAAUACCCUUACGGGGACCGAGGACCGCGCUUUAUGCAAGGAUGCUGGCGUAAUGGUCGUCAACGACCCGUCUUGAAACACGGACCAAGGAGUCGAACAUUUGUGCGAGUGUUUGGGUGUUAAACCCUCACGCGUAAUGAAAGUGAACGGAGGUGAGAGCCCUUACGGGUGCAUCAUCGACCGAUCCUGAUGUCUUCGGAUGGAUUUGAGUAAGAGCAUAACUGUUCGGACCCGAAAGAUGGUGAACUAUGCGUGGAUAGGGUGAAGCCAGAGGAAACUCUGGUGGAGGCUCGCAGCGGUUCUGACGUGCAAAUCGAUCCGUCAAACCCUGCGC